AAAUCAGCAGCGAGGGAAGAGAAACCGCCUCCUUUCUUUGACAAGCAUUUUUAAAAAGGAGAUUUAUGUUCCCGUGUUUAAUUGAUUGUUCCUCCUGAUCAUUACACCUUUAGUGUUGUUAAAAUCUAGACAAGGCGCCGCUGUGAUGGAUCACCCCCAGCCGUGGAAGGAAGUGAUUCACCCCAGUGCAGGGAGCUGAGGGUGUCCCUGAGCCGACUGCAAGCAGAUUUUGAGACAGAGUCUUGCUAAGUUUCUGAUGCUGGUCUUGAACUUUCGAUCCUCUGAUCCUCCUGCCUCAGCCUCCACAUCACCAGGAUCCCAGAAGUGUACCACUGUCCCCUUCCACUGCUGUAAAUAAAGUUUUAUUAGUAUAGUGCUUGCCUAGCAUUCACAAGGGUUUAAUCUCCAGUACCACAAAACGAACAAACAAAGUGUUUUGGAACACAGCUGUGCUCAUUCAGUUAUGUAUAAUUGGCUAUGGCUGCUUUCCUGUGGCUAGCUGAGUAACUGAGAUACAGACUAUAUGGUUCUUUAAACCUAAAAUGUGUAAUCUCUGAGGAUUUAUGGACCCUUUGAUCUAAAAUAUUUACUACAGUCCUUUACUCCCCGGGGACUGUUUACAUGUUAAGUAAACUCAAGGACAGAGAUCAGUUCCUAUUUAUGAUAACUUUUUUCCCUUAGAUCCUUGCACAUAUUAGGUGCUUUAUAAAAUAUGAAAUUAGCAUUCAGAGGA